rnacentral:rRNA from 1 species
UGGGUGGGAUACAGGUGGGGCAUGGUUGUGGUCAGCUCGUGUCGUGAGAUGAGAGGUUAAGUCAAGCAACGAGCGCAACCCUCCCUUUAUGUUGCCAGCCCGUUAUGGUGGGGACUCAUAGGAGACCGCCGGGGUCAACUAGGAGGAAGGUGGGGGAGACGUCAAAUAAUCAUGCCCCCCAUGUCGUGGGGGUCACGCAUGUUACAAUGGCCGGUACAGAGGGUUGCGAUAAUGUGAGGAGGAGAUAAUCCUUAAAAGCCGGUAUCAGUUCGGAUUGGGGUGUGCAACUCGACCCCAUGAAGUCGGAGUCGCUAGUAAUCGCAGAUCAGCAACGAGGGGGUGAAUAAUUCCCCGGCCUUUACAC